GCAAGUUGAGCCCAAGCACUGCGAGCUUAUGAGUUGCACCGAAGAACUAAUAAAUAAUUAUGUAUUCAUUUAUGGAUAUUCCUUUCUACCCUGGUCUUCUUCUUCUUCUUCUUCUCCAAUCGAAUCCAUGGAGAUGGCUCCCGCCGCUCUCCCCAAAUCUGGAGCCGCCUCCAAGUGCUACAGCGCCCUUGCCUCGACGUGGGAUCUGGUAACCGGUCCGAACCCUAACUCUCCUCGAUUCCACUCCGCGACGAGGUCGAAGCCAUCACCGCAACGGGUUUGCUCAUGAAUGGAAUAUGGACGCGUCAGCGAUCGCCAGAAUGCUUAAUAGGUUAUUCCCACAAUGGCUGCUUUAAUCAGUGUCUUCCUCCCUUCUGUUUUUGGUAUCUAAUAAGAAAGGGGUGAUCUUUUUUCUUAUUUAGUGAAAAGAAUUGAUCUUUUUGGUUUGAACUCUUGGAUUGGAACUUAGUGGUCUAGUAGUUUAUUAGGUGGAUUGUGAGUUAUAUGAUAUGAAAAAUCCAAACUUUAUUCAAGAAAAAUGAUUCCUCUGGAAAGUCUACCAGAGUAGAUGAUGAUUCAAGCUGUAUGCAUAUAUUGCAUAGAAACUUAUUGGCAUUGGUAACAUGUUUGUUCUGCAGACUAAUGCAUCCUUUGUCCUGUGGUUUAUAGGCAUGGGAAUAUUGAUAUUAAUCAUAUUCACUAAUUUAGCAUAAGGAACAAUUUGGUUGGGAAUAGUGGUUCAGAAUUCAUGAAAAAUGUGGUGAAUUCAGAAAAAAAUUCAGUGAGGAUUUGCAUAUUAUAUAAUUAGGGAACAAUAAAAGGAACUAAGCUUACUAAUGUUCACAUAUAUGGCCAAUCACAACUUUACAGUACUGGAAUCAUUCACACCCUAUAAUAUGGUGUUGAAGGCACUGUCCUCUUUGCGUGAUAAUUACCCAGAUCAAAAUGUCACUCCUUUUGUUUAAUGAUGGCUCAACUAACUUUCUGCCUUCCUCUAGGCCAACAUUUUUUUGGAAAUAUAGCAUAACCGGCUUUCUCUAUUCCUUCUUCAGGAGGUCAUAGAACACCUUUGGCUUUCUGUAACUACCAAUGCAUAGAGCCUGUCACCACAAAAUACAUUAACUCAGUUAUCUAUUGGAAAUGAGCAUAGGACUUGCAAGAAACACUAAAAAUGGGCUUAUCCCUCUCAGUACAUGAAUAGUAUUGUCACAACUACAGUGUUGAAAUUUAACAUAUUACAUCCUUCUCAAGCAAGGUCAUCAAAUGAAGCAUUGGUCUUAAAAUUUCUGAGAGCUAAGAUCCAAAAUCUUAUGAAGCACAUUUUAGUUCAUUCUUUGGGUGCCCAUAGUCUUUUUAACUAAAUAUCAACUAUGUUAAAAGGGCACAGUAACAAAUAGUACAGACCUUAGUCUUAAUGCAACUGCAAGUAAACACCGAAGUUUAAUCAAUUUAUUUGAACUUAGUGUGUAAGCAAACACUGAAACUAGGCAUGAUUUUAGAUGUUUUAGCAUUAGUCCUUUGUGGUUCUAACAUAAAAUAUGUGAUUCAUGCUAUUUGUAUAGAUGUAUGGACAAGUAGAUGUGCUUUACAUGUAACCAACCAAUGCUGAGUAGAUGAGAGAGCUGCAUCUUUAGAUUUUUUUAUUAAUACUAUUUACAUUGGUUAUCUUUUCUUUUGCCAACAAAUUAAGAUUGGAAAAGAAAUCAAAAAUUUCUUUUUCUAAGUGCCGGACAUUCAACAUUUCUUUUGCCAACAAAUUAAGACUGGAAAAGGAAUCAAAAAUUUGCUCCUCUAGAUCCACGAAUAAACCAACAAAUUACUUGAUGUUGCAAAAUUACUGCUUACCUCCAUGGCAAAUGCUAAAUGGAGUAAGGUUGCUUCGGACCAUGGUCUCCCAAUAAACUGAAGGCCAAUAGGCAUGCCCCCCUUGUCAUACCCAACCUUUGAAGUAGCAUAGCCUUUAGAAUAAAGAUAGAGUAGGUAUCUAAUACAAAUAGGAGUUGGAAAAGAUGUACCAUAGUAGUAAUUGUAGGCAAGCCAAGAAAAUUUCCUGCUAUUGAGAACCUCACAAGUGCCGCUGGAAAAAGAUACAAGGAUCAAGUUACUCCCCUAAAAUCUAAGAAAACCAUAUGAAAAUGAUGAAAAGCGCAAUUUUGAGCUUUUGAAAGGAUAUCCAAGCUCCACAAUCUAGAUUUCUAGUACCUCCAUUUAUGUAAUCGAGUUCUCCACUAUUCAAGGCAUCACUUAGCAGUGGGUAUGCAGUGACACUGUAUAUGAGAAAAAAACGUAAACAUCUUACAUAUAAGAAACAAAUUUAUGUAGGAGGAAAACUAUGAGCAUCUAUCCUACUAUUACCAUACCUCUUAUUUUAAAAAAAUAUAUGAACAACUGAAGUUUGGUUCCAAAAUAAAGUGCCAUUCAGUUGACAAUUAUUAGAUAAUCGUAACAAAAUGGCCUCUUAGGAUGCACAGAAGUGAUCAAUACAGUAAUCCACCCUACUAUUUUUGCACUUUUUGUUUUUAAGAAUAUACUAAUGUCCGAACUUUGCCUCCAAAAUAAAUUGCCAUUCUGCUGACAAUUAUUAGAUCAUUAUAGUAAAAUGGCCACUUAGGAUGCACAAAAGUGAUCAAUAUAGCAAUGCCAUGUUAUCUGUUCCCAAGGACAAUUAUUUUCCGAUCAACUUAUGUUUCUCUUCUUCUGCACGAAUACAAUCAAAUUAGUUGAAGGUAUAGUGUUAUGGUAUCAAGAUAUUAAUUUGGCUAUGCAUGUGUACUGCUUUAAAGCAUUGUUAUCUCAUUAUAAGGUGAUGCAUUGCUUACUGCUUUAUUUCAUGUUGUCAUAUCCUUCCAAAUCAGUGCUCAACAAAGCAGCAAAGGGAAAUGCAUUCGUGUGCUUCUUUUUUUUAUACACCUUAUUUGUAUGGGAAUGAUCAACAUACAGACUCCUACAGAUUGCUAUCAACAAAAAUCUUGCUUAAUUUCCUACUGUCUUUUCUUAUAUGAAUUUUUUAGCAAUCGACUUUAUGAGAAUGUUGUCAAAUCCAGUAAAUGUGCAUAUGUAGAAAAUUCCAACAAGUGUCUUCAGAGGCGGAUGGAGCAUGGAACUAUGUGAUGGAGAAUAUCAGAUCUGCAGUUCAGUUUUUUGAGCAUUGGUUCCAUUUAUGGAGCUUUCUGUUAUAGUGGUGCUCCACUUUAUAAGCUGCUUCCCUUUUCCUUAUCUUGGCCAUCUUGAUGAUGCAAAUACUUCUUUAUUGAUUAAUUCUUUUGUUAGUUUUAAGAUAGAACUACACAUCUUAGUGAGGACAAAUUUUAUUCGAUCAUGCUGCCUUCUGGUCAAUAUACAAAUUUAGGAAUAGAGGGAAAUGAGUUAACUGACAACAUGAAGGCGUCGGAGAAUACAAUGGCAAAUUAACCAAACAAAAUAUAAUGACAUGCUCAAUUACCGAGUAAAAAAUCACACUAACUAUACCUGUCAUCUGCCUGUGCUUUUGCAGAGAUGAUAACUCUAUCCAUAUGAGGUUAUUAUAACCAAGGAUAUAAGUACUGGUGCCAGUACACUUGCCUGGUCACCUGCCCACAUAACCUGUGCAGGUCAUCUGAUGGCAUGGUAUGUGCUCUGUGUGUGUUGUUGGACUGGUCUGUGUCAAAACUGAAAAUGUUUCACAAUGACCAUGCAUGAUUGGUGAUUUACAUCGAUUAUAAAUGGGUUAAGAAGACUUUUCCAAUUUAUGAGGCUUAAGAAACUUCAAACAUAUCCAUAACCCCAUAACCUACUUAAACAUAUUUAUCUGCAUAUAUUGCUAACAGUAGUAUGGUUGAAGCAUAAUACCCAGUUGUCGGUGUGACAAUGACAUCCGCCCUUUCAAAAAUCUUCUUAUGGAAGUACAUCUGACGGUUCCUGGAGAUAUAUGGUAAAAAAGGACCAUGCCGUUAUGCACAACCAAAACUUUGAUUUACAUGAUUUGCAUGACAAACCAUGGUGUCUAUGUAUGUAUGCAUGUACUGAUGCUGAUGGACAUAGGUUUUGCUGUCUACGUAAGAGUAGGUCAAACAUGCUAUUUAGAAAUAAAAGAAUUGAAGAAUUAUUGGCUAGAUUACCAAAUAAAUAAAUAAAUAUUAUAUUUAUAUCGCUAAUUUUUCAAGGUAUCAAUAUCAAGCAUCAUUAAACAAAUAUAUUUCACAAUAUACAUGUGACAGCAGUUCAUCCAAUAAAGGAUUUUAGCAUCACAUGUACAAGUGCAAGGCCCUGGCAGACCACAUAUAACUAAACUUGCAUUCUAGCAUGAGAUGGUGUUUGACUGUCAGAGAUUGUUUUGUGCAUGUCAUGAUAAGAACCAAUCCUUUAUCUGUUAUACUUGAGAUUAUUAGAAUUCCCAAUAGUNNNNNNNNNNNNNNNNNNNNNNNNNNNNNNNNCAAAGGUGCUUGGUGACCAGAGAGGUUACCAGAAAUAGCUGCAUAAACUAUUAGUGCAUCUUCAACAGUUGCUGCUAAUAUGCCUGGCAUUCCAACUGUCCAAUUCAGCGGAAGGGUACCCGAAUUAGACAAGCGUCCAGAGGUCGCCUUGAAACCAACUACGCCACAGAGAGCAGCAGGCAUCCGCACCGACCCUCCCCCAUCAACACCAAGUGCAACAGGGCAUAAUCCAGCACACACUACUGCAGCUUACGAAUAGUGAUAAAGUAUUAAAAAUGGUUAAGGGCCUAAUUUUUGGCAUGUUUUCCUUCUCAUAGUUUGCUUUGGGAGUCAUAGCUCAAUUCCUAUUGUUUAUUAGUAUCACUCAUGGAUGUCUAUUAUUGAUCAGCCACUUCUUCUAAUAUCUAUCUUAUCCUUCUGCUUCAAAGAAUAAGAUACUGCAUUUUCAUCUAAAUUCCUCACUUUCCCAUUUUGAGGGCCUUAUAGAUUUGCCUUUUUUCACACGACAGAAAUGAAUAAUUAGAUAUUAAGGCAUUGAAUCAUUACAUCUCUUAUUUAAACUUGCAAGGCUCAUAAGCCAUAACCAUUAUUGUUCUUCUAAAUUAGCAGCAAUGCUGAAAGGCAAAAUUAAGAAAGGAUGUAAGCGGAUCUUAAUUGGAGUUUUCAAUUUAGUACACAUAUUCAACUGCCUUACCUCAUAAGAAAAUGGCAAUAGAACUGGAGCCUUUACGUGCAUUAAUAUGAUAUUGACAUUUCAAUAUAAAGAUGAACAUCUUUAAAGUAAAAAAUGCUGCAAAAACUAAUGGUUCUCUUGGUACUGCCAUGCUGAAGUACCUUAUCCGCUGAGCAUUCAAAUAAUCCUUGCUGCUGAAUGAACGGUAGACACGAAGAGCUAUUCUUGCAUCCCACCCUAUCUCUGCAAAAUUCCUAUAGUAAUACAAGGACAUAAUGUAAGGUCCUAUAUUUAUGAUUUUAACACCACUGGCAGAACUGAUUAAACUGCAUCCAGGUAAAGCUACUUACAGUUUUUCGAGAUGUGGAGCCAAUGAAGCAGUGCAUUCAGAUCCAAUUGUUAUAUAAUGAGCCAAACGCAUCUCUUCUAUCUCAGGUACAGUCACAGCCAGAGUCUUACAGGUAGGAAAGCUCCAUUUGAUUAGAAAAUGAUGUUUCAAUAUUUACUUAUGUUAGCAUAUGGAACUUUUCGUGUACAUUAGAAAAUCAGAGGAUGCUGGAACUUUUACUAGGAUGGUUGAAGAAAAGAAGGCACUUCGCUCUAUGAACUAAGGCAGUUAAAUAAAAUGCUAGUACCUUCCACCCAUAAUGCUUGCAUAGCAUUUGCAAAGCUUGGUCACAGCAAUUUCUAAUUUCACUUGUGCAGUCAUUAAACCACUGAUUUUUCCAAACAAGAAUUACAUCAUGUUAGCAUCUGUCUCCGAAAUACAAUAAAAAGAAAGAGUUUGUAUGAAACUGAAAUUGAUCCAUCAAACUGGAUUAAUUGUAAGAAUGCUUAGUUCCGAAAUGUUUGGAAAUUCAGAGCUAACCUCCCCAUAUUUGGCUAAUUUGAUGUUCGUGAUUGAUUGUGUGGAUGUCAGCAGAGGAAAACUCAAUUUAGGCUGGAGGAUUCUCGAAAAAAAAGAGAAGAAAAAAAAAAUCAACUUAUCAGACUCCUGAAAAAAAUGAAUUUGACAAAGCUAGUAACAGAAUCUCUUCACAGCACCCAAGCACAAUGAAGAAAACUUUUUCUGCUUUCUUUAAUUUCUGAAAAAUGAAAGAAAAAGCACUGCUUAAAUAUGUCUGAGAUAGGAGGAAUGGGGGAUGAUUUUCUCACCUGCAAAGGUGCUUGGUGACCAGAGAGGUUACCAGAAAUAGCUGCAUAACUGAUAUGAACAAGAAUGUUUAUUUAGAUAGUAAUUGAUUGCAGCAGGACCUUACAAAAAAUAGAAAAGUUUGUGAUCUUAUGGAAUCAAAUACUGACACUAUUAGUGCAUCUUCAACAGUUGCUGCUAAUAUGCCUGGCAUUCCAACUGUCCAAUUCAGCGGAAGGGUACUGAAACAACGACAUAAAAUGCCUAUCAGGAUAGUAGGGGGAAUAUAGCGUACAAGCAAUGGAGAUAGUGGAGAAGCUUCUGAUGGCCAGUUAAUUUACCC
rnacentral:lncRNA from 1 species